rnacentral:tRNA from 1 species
GGUGGGGUUCCCGAGCGGCCAAAGGGAGCAGACUGUAAAUCUGCCGUCAUCGACUUCAAGGUUCGAAUCCUUCCCCCACCACCA